UCUUACAUAAUUGUAGACUACUUUUUUGCCUUUAGAUUGGUGAUUUGCAAUUGUUUCAUUGUACUCUGUUUUUACGAAUUGUAAACGAAGACACGGUCGGAAGUCAAAUGAGCCAGCUCUUUUAGGUAAAUCAAUCUACAAGAAUGCCUCCCACUAAUGUUUUCGUUGGUUGUGAGGUGGCGCUACCAUCAUGACUGGGGGGAUUAUAUAUUUUUGGCCAACUGGAGCCAAACAUUUCCGUAUACAAACUAUUUCUAAAUAACAGGGCAUUUACGUUUUUGAUUGUAAUUUCCACAGGUCUGUCAGUUUUUCCCCUCAAAACAGGUGACUGCGAAAGCUUGAUUCUGUGGUCAGUGAGACGUUUUUGUGGAUCGGGAGGAAUGCUUUGAAUCAUUGUUGUGUUGGAAUAUCCAACAAUGGAGUUGUAGCUUCCUGGUAGAAGCUAACCUUGUCCCCAAGGAUAUGAAGUGUCUGGGAAUGAGAUUUGGUAGUGGACGACAUGUUUUGGUCUAACAUCAUCUGGUACUUCACAGAGUUCAUGAUGCCAUGUAUCCUAACAAGGUUCCCAGGCCAUAUUUUACAUUAUGAACUGGAUCAAUCUCCCAUUGGUUGUAACCAUCGAAGUCCAUCAGCUCACCUGCAGACCGCCUGUGCACAGCAGGUUCACAACGUCGUGGGACUUGAAUUAGCCAAGGCCUCCUUUGGUUCCACAUACAGAAGCUGGCAGAAGCGAGGGAUGUGGUAGUGUUGACACGCUGGGUGGGACAGGACCACCUGAGACCAUGAUGACAGAGACCGAACCCGGACGUCUCGGAGGCCUCCAGAUUACAACCCAUCAACACCCUUGUUCCCAUUCCUACAGAUUAGUGGUGCCACCAGCACUACGAGUGUGGCUCCCGCAACAUUGUCAAAGGAGAACCAGUAUAGACAUGCCUCUGAGGCCGAAAAGCUUCAGUGGAAGUCGAGGAUGAGUGUGCUGAGGGAUCAGCAGGGGAAGGAGGCUGAGGAGGGAUGGAGGACAGAGCUUGAGACAGUCGAGCUUUGGGCCUCUGCGUUGGAGAAGGACCUGGAGAGGGAGAAGACUAGGGCUUCCCUCCUGGAGAGGCAGCUGCAUCACGUCAAGGCCAGACAUCAGGAAGGUGAAACCAGGGCUUCCCUUCUGGACAGGAAACUGGAAAACACCAAGGCCCUUUAGAGGAACAGCCAGGCCAGUGCAGCACAGUACAGCAGCAGAGGGCAAUUCACAAGUGGCAGAAAAUAAUGGAAGCGUUGGAGGUCAGUGUCUCUAUGCUGAAGAGAGGCUUGGCAGAAAAAUGUAAUCUGCUGAGAGAAUAGGCUGAAUACUAGCUGAAUAAUUCUCUAAAAUGUAUGGAGUUAAAGCUUAACAUUAAAGACGAGGCUGAGACCAGAGCAUCAAAACUCAAAAAGGAUAUUGAGGAUGUCAAGGCCAGACUGGAGCGGGACGACUGCAGGGCCUCUCAGCUAGCCAGAGCUCUGAAAAAGGAGAAGACUGCCCAUGACCAGACAAGAAUCAAGCUGGCAAAAUGGUGGUGCUGAAAACUGAGCUGGAGAAUAACCUGGCCAGGACAAAGCUCAAUUUGGAGACCGUUAAGACUGUCUGAAACCAGCCGAGGAAAGAGAACAAGGUUAAUGUGGUCAAAGUGGAAGAGUGGCGGGUGAAGAGGAUUUUGUU